rnacentral:lncRNA from 1 species
AGGAUGGGUGGGCUGUGGAGGGCUGCCUGAGAUCACUAGUUCCCUAACAUCCUCAGUCUUCCUUGGUUGCAGAGUCCGGCAGUGAUGUCCCUGAAUGGCUCCCUUCUGGCACAUGGCUGCAAGUCCAGCCUCGUUGGACACCUCUCUUCUGGUGAAGCCUUUACCCACAUCCACUUCCACACCUUCUGUGGUCUCCACAACCACUUGGAAGCUCAGCUUCAACAUUCAUGGCCUCUACUCAAGCAACUGGGAAUUGCCAGAGAGAACCUCAUCAGGGUGUCAGCCAAAGGAGGGGAUGCACCAAGGGUGCUGCUUGAAUUGACUACAGGCCCAUGUUCUAUGAUGGCAGACGGAGAUGUCAGGAUGGAAAGCAACACCACUCAAACCAACUGGACCCUUUCUCUGGGGAACCAUUGCCCUAUAUUAGAGAAAGCAGGCUUUCCACAGAGCCUGGCCACCAGGGGCUCCUUCAGGGCUGGGUUCUGUGACGGUGACCUGACCAUGGCCCUCCAGAGCGAUGAAGGAGAUGCCCAUGUGCACUUAGCAACUUCUUGCAGACAAAAACCCUUGGUGCAAGGAAGCCUGCACCACUCCUUCAGGCCUCUGAGCCGCCUGGGGCUGCCUCCCAGCAGUGCCAUCCACCUGCAGGCAGGGUUGGGCCCUGCCCCACACAGCUCCUUGACUCUCCAAGUUGGGCAGUGUCGGCUUCAGGGCAGAAUGGAGUUCCAGUCCAGGAACAGAACCCAGUGGGUACUGGAGACAGAGACGGAGUGUGAUCUACUGCAGGACCUUGGAAUCCCCGCCCAGAUGCACCUCAAUGGAUCAACUCAGGUUGCCGGCUGUCAGGUUAAGCUGCUCUGCACCCUCUUGACGGGUGGCCAGACAGCCUUCUUGGAACUCAGGGGAGCGUGCCAACCACAGCUCACCAUCCGGGCCAUAUUCAGGCACACCUUGCCAGAGCUCUGGGCCAUUCCAGAGGAGACCAAGCUGUCUUUUCAAGCUGGAAAACAGACCAAGUACCAGCUGGACCUGAAGCUGAGAUCAGGAGCCUGUGAAAUCCAAGCCAAUGGGGAUCUGCAACUGGAGAGAAAGUUCCAGUGGAGGGGGCUGGUGGAGAAUUCCUGCAAAGCACUGCAGGCUCUUGGGGCCCCACGUCGGAUUGAUGGUUCAGGCUACGUGGUGGUGAACAGUAUGGAUCUGGAUGCCCAGAUGUUGGUCACUGUAGAUGACAGCACCCUUCGAGGCCUUCUCGUCCUGAAGGCCACUGAGACACACCAAGAACUAGACAUGCUGUUUACCCACAACCUCCCUGAUGCUCUCCACUUUGGCAUCCCAACUCGGACCCUGGCAGAUGUGACCACAGUGAGAAGUAACCAUAGUUACAGGCGUACCAUCCGGUUUGGCAUGGACAGCAAGCAGAUUUCUGAAGAGCUCAGCUUCACUCAACAAUCAGACUACAUUUCCCUCGACUACAAAAUCCGACACAAUGUCCCAACAUUGCAGGCAUUGGGGUUAGAAGAUAAGAUAGACUUGCAGGUUGUAAUGUACCUUCAAGGAACCAGUUUCAACAUUGAUAGCUCCGUGAACAUUCUGGUGGGGCAGACGUCUCUCAACUACACCACGAGCUGUUCUUAUACCAGACAGCAAAUGGCGUUCUCCUGCUGGAGUAGACAUAACAGCAGUGCUCUGAGGGAAGGAACUGGCUACCCAGAGGUGGUUGGCCUCACGGUAGUGCUACAGACACAAGAAACCCAGACCCAGGGCAGCGUGGACAUCCAGGGAGGAGACAGGAAAGUCAGUGUGGAUUUGGCAGCUCUGAUGUCCUUGGAACUAAAUGGGACCCUCAAGCUUGUGGCCCACAUCCAACACACAGUGCCAAUUCUCAGGCAGCUGGGCCUGCCCUUCACAACCCAGUUGUUAUUCCAGGAAAUCCUGGCAGCCAGUGAAAUGAAAACAUCCUUGGAAGUAACCUGUGAGUCUGAAACAAGUCUUCUCAUUCAUGUGAGGGGAAGGAAUCAACCACUCAGAAAAGAACUGUAUGUUACCAGCCAACAGCAUCUCUCCUUCCUCCUCAAUCACUUCCCUAGGACAGCCAAGCUUUCCACCAAGGUGAGUUACUCCAUGAGUGAAGCCGAAAGCAUGAUUGCCGUUGACCUGGAAAAGCACCAUUUCCACGUGGCCACAAAGCUGACAGUUACUGCAUCCAACCUCACUCAAGUGACUGAGCUGAUGCAUACAAUUCCCCAGCUCAAAAUGAUCCCCUGGGAAAUGGUGCUCGUGACCAUGUAUCAGAAAGCCAACGGGACAAGGAGCAUCCAACAGUUGGUACUUUGGGACGGCCAGGAGUUCAAGUUCAUUGGCAGCUACACAGGGCUCUUUCCCAAGUUCUCCAGGAGCGAGCACAUGCAGGUGGAACUUGUCCAUCCUCUCUCCAUCCCUUUUCCUCAACAUUCCAAGAUCACCACGACCCUGCUACACUCAGUUCACAGCCAUCAAGAUAAUCUAGUCAUUGAAUGGAAUGCCAAGGAACAGGUGGUGCUGUCCUCCUCUCUAAAGCUGGGGAAGGAUCACGUGCGUGGCCAGGUGGCUUUUGCUCAUCCCUUCAACCUAUCCUGGAGCCACAUGGAAGCCAAGGGCCUGGCAGAGAAGAGGGGCAGCAGGUACAGCCAACAGGUACAACUUGCCUGGAAUAGAGGGAAACCUGUCAACUUCCAGUUUUCCUGGGCAGACAGGUCAGAAGCUACCAUCACCAACUGGGAAGGCUGUCUGACUGCAUCCUCAGGACAGCUCCAGAAAUUCCUGACCCUGGGCAAUCUCAAGGCCUGUGGAUCUGUAACUCAAACUGCAACAGUGUUCAGCGAGCAUCUUGAUCUGUCCUGGGACAGCCAGAAAGUCAAACAGAGUCUGAAAUAUGAGAGACACCGGCCACUCCGGUCAGAUAGACUGCAUGCAGAAGUGGUUCUAGAGAAUAUCUUCUUGACCUCCUGCCCCAAGCAAAACUUCCUGGGAGAAAUAGAGACUAACUACCUGAACCAUCUCAGCCAUUCUCUCAGACUGGGACUCUGUAAUCUUUCCAGUGCUGUUGCGAUCUCUGGAGAAUAUCUGCUGAACCAAGGUAGCUUCGUGCUACACUCUAGGGGCCUGCUCCGCCUCGCCCCAGACCCUGGGCAUGGUUUGGUGUUGGUCUUGACCCUCAGGAACCACAGUACUCCAAAGACUCAAGACUUCUCUGGAGAGCUAGAGCUGAGGGCACCAGGAGAUCAGCAAGUAAGCCUGCUGGGAAGGGUCACUGAAUCAGCCUCUCAGAGUGUAGUCCUGCUACAGGGAAGCAUGGAAUUAGAGGAAAAGUUGGAGUUGACAGCUUCCCGAGCCCCAGACUGUCUCCGGGCUUACCUGGCAUAUGGAAAAGGGACAAAGGAGGAGGGUGUGGAGAUCAGUGCCUGCUCCGACAGAAGGCAGGUGGCCAAGGCUGAGGCCAUGCUUCGUGUCAGUGGUGGGCAAAAUGAACACUUGGGCCAGCUGAUCCUCAGGGCUGCCAACCAGAGUCUGAGCCUGGCUGCACAUGGCUGCAUCACCCCCAUUGGGAAUGUGGAGUCCAAACUGGCUGAGGUUGGCUCUCACCUACAAGCCAGACUGGUGGAGAAGUUCCAGGUGUUUGACUCCUAUCUCCAGAAGUUCCGGGACGUGGUGCAACAGAUUGACUUCCUGGACAGUGCAGCUGGCUGGGUCCUGCAGAUGUCCCAGGCUGCUGUGAGAGCGCUCCAGGCAGGGGGUAGAGCAGCAGCUGGACUAUGGAGGCAAAGCUCAGCCAGGCAGGUGCUGAGACAUCACCUCCCCCUGCACCUGGAGAGACUCCAGACUGUUAUGGAACAGACGCAGAGUGAGCUGCAAAAGCCAUUAGCCACGCUGAAGGAUGCCUACUACGAAGUCACACUCAAACCCCUGGAUGAGGUAUGGCAGGAGAGGACUGAGGAGGCUAUGAGGAGGAUGCAGGCCUAUGUGCCCUCAGGGAUGAAGGACACUUGGCUCAUGAGGCCAAUCCUGCUGUCUCUGCAAGCUGUGAAGGGUGCCCUAGAUCUGACUGCCCACCAGAUACUGAAGUGGGCCGAAGCCAAGUUCUCCAGAGCAAUAAGAAGAAUACGGAAACCCUUGUCCAGUAUUUACAGCUUCUCCGCAAGGAACUGCUCUGUGAUGAUAAGGCUUCCAGUGCUGCCAGGAGGGGAUCAGCCAACGGACUUGGCCAAAGUGACUAGCUAUCUGAUCGAAGAGAAGCUGCUACAGCCCCUUCGUGAGCUGUACGGCAUCAAUCUCCUGGCGGAGUACUACCGGAUCAAGCAUCGGCUGCUGGAGAACCCUUUUGAACACCAUGCAGUGAUGAUUGGGGACAGACACGUGGUGACAUUCGAUGGACAGGCCUAUGACCUUACCUCCAAAUGCAGCCUGUUACUCGCCAAAGACUUUGCUCACAACUCCUUCAUGUUUUUACUGAACCAGUCAAACACAAGACCUAGGUCCCUGUAUGUGGAGCUGAAUCACACAGCUUUCAUCAUCUAUCCAGGGCUUAAGAUCUACAAGAUAGAUGAUUCUUCCUCGUUGGGAGAGAAUUGUCUGGGCUUGGAUCCACUACCUGCCAAAGUCAGGGCCAAUGGGAGAAAAGAAGUUCAUAAAAUAGAAUUAUCCAAUGAGAAUGGUGCUACAGUCUCCUGCGAUAUUCAGUCUGAUCUCUGUAGUAUGACACUGGAUGGCUGGAAUCAUGGUAUGUCGGCAGGCAUCUUGGGCACCAAUGACAAUGAGGCGGGCAAUGACCUGGUGCUCCCAAAUGGCUCUCUGGCAGGAAACCUGGAUGAAUUCAUUGAGGCAUGGCAGGUGGAUGGUGAGUGCAGGACCCAGAGAAGGAAAGCAGAGGUCUGUCCUGGGGCUGCUUCUUCCAAACUCUGCAAGGCAUUCUUUCUGGAUGCCCAUUCUGAGCUCCGUAAUUGCUUCCAAGUGGUAGAUCCUGCCCGGUUCUACAGUAUGUGCAUCCGGGACACCUGUGAGAUAAGUGAACUCCAGGCUGCCUGCAGCAUGGUCUCUGCCUACAUCCACCUGUGCAGCCGAGGCUUCGUUCCCCUGGCAACUCCUCCUCCAUGUGUGUGAGAUUCUGCUCAGGGCAGCCAUAGGCUGACAAAGGAUGGCAAACUCUUUCGCCUUGUGACAUUAUCCAGCUCUAACAUCCAACAAGCAGCCGUAGUCUUGUAGAGAAUCAUCCCUAGCAAGGGGAGAAAACACAGGCACCCGAGAGAAUGAAGAAAAUGAGCAUGCCUAUGGCCUGCUGAAGGGCAGCCAUUUAUCGCUCUUUUAAGUAACAUGCAUGGCCAAGGACAUGGGAGCCUCCCCCAACAGGUUUCAGUGAAUCUCUUCCUCCUCCGCUGUAAGAGCCUAAGACACUGGGAUUCUCCUGUGCUCACUCUAGCCCCCAAAACUCUCUUCUGGCACGUCAGAGGGUGAAAAAAAGAGAGCAAUCUGCUUUGGCUCGAAAGAUGACUUAUUCAUCGCAUAUUUACUGAGCACCUACUAUAUGAAAUGCCGUGGUUCUGGAUCAAUUGUGUCAGCAGUAAGGAGGAGUGGGUAUCAGGAAGGCUGUCUUAGUUAUUAAUCCCAUCAGCUCAGGUUUCUUCCAGCUGUAUUUUGCCAUCAAAUUCCAUUUCGCCACCAGCUUAAAAGAACAAGUGACCUGACUUACUGCACAUGGCUUCCUUGACCUCAGCUGUCCCAACUUCCUACCAGGGUUGGGGAGAGUCUGGGGUUGUUGUUUGCUCAGGCAGCCAUAGCAUUUUCAAAAAGUGGGGAAGAUCUCUUGAGAUUUUCUUGUUAUCAAGUGUUUUGUUUUUUUUUUAAAUACUGCAAAUAAACUAGAUUCAAAUUUUGAGGUUUAGUGGGAA